GUUUGCUUAGCUUGUGAGAAGCUGGUUCAUUAGAGGUGAUUAUGAGUUUCGUUCAUGAGUUAUGCUCUUUCGGGUGGAGUUUUUGGUGUGUUUGCAACUCUGCCCUCUUAAAUUUGCUUUCUGCAUGUCUGUCCCUUUGGAAGUUAACAACUGGGAAGAGUGCAGGAGUGGCCCAACCACUCUAAGGAGCCUUUCCUUUCCAUGGCCCAAGGCUGCCUGUUUCGCCAAGUAGCAGGGAACAUCCUAAUUCAGCCUUCUCUAAUCCAGUGCCAUCCUCGCAACUGUUUUGACCUACACUCCCCUCAUCCUUGACUAGCUACCACAGGGUGAUGUUUGAAAGUUUAAAAAUCUGGAGGGCAUCAGGUUGGAGAGGGUUGCUAAUUGUUCGGAGAGGCUGUCCUUGCCCUGUCCGUGUUUAUAAUAGUGAAAUUCUAGUGCACCUUACUAAGGAACAAAAUUCCAUACAGUGAAUCUUGUGAGGAGUAAUCUUAUUUUGAUUUCGCUAACAUUUAAAAUAAAUAAAUAAAUGCAAGGUUCUUGUUGAAAGAGAAACUGAAAACAUAAUUUAUAAUGUAUUCCUAAGGAGGAUAUCUUAGUCUUCUUGCUUGUGAGCUGCUGCACAGGAAAUAUUUAGGGUGAGAUGCUGCUACUGCUAUGUAUUGCAUUGUUAAAGCACACUUAAUUGCAGAAUACAGCCACUCAAACCAGCAUUGACAAAAAGCUGUUGGGUACAUGUAGUUGAACAGAGGGGCAGCAUCUGAUUGGGAAGUGACUAGUAAUGAGUUGCAUACACGGGUACUGUAUUGACAGUCACUGCAGAGCAAUUAAGUCAGUGCAAUUUUAGGUACCUAAUAUUUGGUUUUGAGCUUUUCUAGAAGAACUUGCAGCUGAUGAGUUAGUACAGUAGGACUAACUGGUCUCAUUUGCCAGCCUUGGGAUCCUACAGUUAGCUACACAAGGAAAAGCUUCUCUAUCUACCAUCAUGGCCAUGUCUGUAGAAUCAUUUUGCCAACUUGGAUCUUGGAACCAACUAGAUGUUGUGACAGCAGACCUGUGUGCUGGAAUUGGAUUGCUGCCUCAUAAAGCAGUGUUGUAGCAGCGACUUAAAGCUGGUGGGAGUGAGGGCGGAAAGUAACCUGCCCCCACCUUUUCUCCCCUCUUUCACCUCUCUCUCUCUCUCUCUCUCUCUCCCUCUCUCUCUCUCUGUAUUUCUCCUAGGGAGAAGCAAUUUCAAGGAGAAAGGCAUUGGAAAAAGGGUCCGUUUUCUACUUGUGGCACUACCAUUUCUAGUUUUGGUCCCUUAAAGACUAGGGUGCAGGUUCUGUUUAUUCCACUGGACCCUGCACAGAAUAAUAUCCAAUCCUUGGUUUUGAGUUUAGCAUAUGUUGCCUGCACUACCAAUGAUGGCUUGAUCUGUGGCUUUGGUUGCAUAGCAACUAUUUAUGCUUCAUUUUGAUUGUGAAGUAAGCCUUAGUUAGCAUCGUGCAAUAGGUGUGCUUCUGGAUGUAGAUCAAAACUACUUGUUUAUCUUAUGCAAACUCUGCUUUAUGUUCAGUUUGGAAAGAGCAAUCAAAGCCUGUUGAAAAUCUGAUUGGAAUCACCUCUGAGAUCCUGGUUUAAAAUACAGUUAUAAUCAAUUUUAUCUUCACAAUUUUAAAAGUUAAGUGGAGAGAAUAUGAGCCACAUUCUGCAAAGAUUGGGAUGUAUAUCAGAAUCCUUAAAGAGACAGCCAGUGGUACAAAUAGGAAUAUUUAUUUAUUUGUUACCGUUUCUCUCCUCGAUACUUUUGUCAAUAUAAAGCUUCUGAAAGCAUGGAGCCUGCAUUUGUUGCACAUAAUGCAGUAUGCAAUAACGAAAAUAAGUGCCAAGAGUUCUCUUUAUACGCAGGUAUUGUGGAUCUCAUCCGUUAAAGCACAGGGAUGUUUAAGACCUUGAGCUGCAAAAAGAAUGGUGGAAUUCUUUAGUAAAGAAACUUUGCACAUCUUAGAACUGUUCAAAUCAAAGUUCUGCAGGGUCUUAUUAUUUUGUCUUAAUUUAUACUCCAAAACUGCCUCAGAAAACAUCGCUGCCUGUAGGGCAUAUGGGCACUCUACUGCCCCAUUGGUAUUCUAGUGCCAUGCAUUUAAAUAGUAAAUGGCAGCUGACCAUUUUUAUUUUUAACUUCAUAUAAAUAUUUAUAAGUGUGAACUUGAUCCAUUCCCUGUGGGUGUAUUUGGACUCAUGGGAAGGCAUCAUCAUAGGUCUCGUUGCAGCCUGCUUCUCUCCAUCUCCUUUCCAUGUGCUCUGCAGCAUGCCAGCAGUCGCUCUUAAUGACAGCCUGUUACUCACAAUGAGUAUUUCAUGGCCAGGGCCCUUAGAAGAAGAGAGAUGUGGCUGGAUGUGUAUGUGAGAGCUGCAUACAGGACUCUCAUUGCAAGUUAUGGCUGAGAGCAGCAGUCCACAUACCCCAAGGAAGAGUGAAAAAGAAGAGAGUCCUUUGUUGAUCCCCGUGUCAGUCCCCUCCUGAAUCUGCAGCUCUUUCCACUGGGCAACAGAUCAUGUCCAGUGCAAUUUAUUUUAACUGCUUUUGCUUACAGAAGGAAAGUUGCACAUCUCAGGUUCUGUAACGCUAAAUGUGAGUUACCAUAAAGGGGCAAGAAGUACUGAUCAACUAUAAGAUUCAUGGACCUCAUGAUGAGUAUACAUCAUUGUGCUUCUCCCCUAGCCUGAUUGUUAGACAUUAAAAAUGCUUCCGAAGCGUUCUGGCAUAUUUGGAGAUGGGGUCGUGUCUUGUUUUUAUUUAUUUUAUUUAUUUAUUGGCCUUGGUAUUCUACUGCAAUAUCAGUAGGAGCAGAAAUGAGGAACUGAAAAGAACUGCAAUUUGUUCUUAAUCCUAAAUUAGCCUGUUAUUAACUUGUUAACAUUAUGAAAUUGUCAACAUUUAAAAUAGUUUUGAGGUAUUUUUCUUCUAAAGAAGCCUCAAUAGUAAACAGGAAGGUAGGAUUUUUAACUGUUACUUAACUUAUUUUAUCAAGUGCUCUAUAUCCAACUGUAAAGGACAGGUGUAAAAGUACACCUUAAAUUACAAAUGUUUUACUUGCUGUGGGUGCAGUCCAGAGUCAUUAAAGUCGGUCUUCCGUUUGACCAUCAACUUGAUAUGCAUAGGAUUUUAAUGUUGUGGUCUUUGCCUUUUUAUUGUAAAAUCAUACUGACUGAUUUUAAAGUCUUGGUUGGUUUUGAAAGUUUGUUAACUAGGAAUGAAAGUGUAGCUGCCCCUUCUGAGUCCAUACCUAACAUACACUAGAUUCUCCAAAUAAAACAUUCCUCAUGCUCUUUGUUAGAAUUCACCAUUUUAAUACUGCUUUGGCUGAUGUAACUAUUUAGUGUGUUUGAAUCACCUGGGGCAAACUAGGCAAUGCCAGUUAUCAUUGGCAUUUAAUGCUGCAAUCCCAUACGCCCUUACCGGGGAGUAAGCCCUGUUGAACACUGUGGGGCUUACACCUGAGUUGACAUGCACAGAAUUGCACUGUAAGUAUUCUUGCUGGAUAGUUAAUGUGUUAAGUGGGUAUUUCUCUAUAAGGCGGCCUGUGGGUUCCCUUUAAUACUCUUAGUAACACAAAAAGGAACAGUUACUUAGCUUAACAGGAAGAAGAUUGCGGAGUGGCAUUUUUUCUUCUGUUAUUUCUUUAGAAGCUAGCAGAAGGCCCAUCAUUACAGUGGUGGUGUGUGUGUGUGAAAGUAGGCUUUGCAUAUUCCAAAGGGUGCAGAGCACAUAGAUGUUGAAUCCUGCCAGGAAUACAGUGUGCAGGACACCCAGAAGAGAGGUUUUGGUGUUACUGUGCCAUUAUCCCCAAGUGAAGAGGCUGAUGCUCUUCUACUUCUCUGUUCCAGCUGCCAUCCAGACCCUCUGAGUCUCCAUCACUUACCAACCCCUCUGCAAAAAAAGGGGAGAGGGCAAGACCCCUUCCAUUUCCAUUAACCCAGUUGUGUUAUAUCUAGUUUGUUAAUCAUCUGAGACUAAAAAGUGGUUGGAUAUAAAUAAGCUGAAAAGCUAUAGUUAGCUGUACAGUGUAAAAAUGAAAUUCAGCAUUCUGCUCCAUAUCAUGUUUUGAUUUCAACUGCACUGAAGUAAAAAUUACUAGUGUUAUGUCAUAGCUUGAAUUUUUACUAUUAACUAUAGCAAAAUAAAACAACCAACAGGCUAAAGCAGGAAUUUCCAGCCUUUGCUUCUCAGGAAAAGCAGAACGAUUGCCUAACAUGUGUGCAAAGACAACCUUUGCUUACCCUGUGUGGUACAAUCAGUUGUGUUUUUGUUCUGCUUGAUACCAAGAGCCUUGUUCUAUUCUUUAAAGGUGCUAUUUUGACAUAACUAUUGAAUUCUUUAACACUGUGCUUGAAAAAAUCGAAUUGAUCCUUUACUUGAAUGUUAGCUAUCAAUUGAUGGUGAGUGGUUGCUCCUUUGUUCUUUCUUAGUUGAGGUCAGGGAAAUUGUCCAUAUUUAAGGUACAACUUUUCUCUGUGAACAGCCUGUAUACUGUCCAUACUUACACCCUUCAUGAAAUAAAAUAACUGCCCUUCACUGAACAAUAGGCUUUUUUAUCUAAGUAUUGCUGUAAAAUGUUGAAGUUUUCAAUUUACAUGGGGACUCUUUCCUCAUGUAUCUCAUUCCUGUGAAAUAGUUUUCUUGAGUUGCAUCCAGUUCCCAGGAGGUGUCAGAUAAGUACGAAACAUUUACCUGAUUGAUUCUUUUUUUUAAAAAGUUACUUUGAAUCCACUGUACCUUCCUCUUGUAAGCUUUUGAGAAGUCCUAUACCAUUUCACUAACUAUUAAUCAUGGAAAGUUAAGCUGCCCAUCCCCAAAUACAGUGAAGGUAGGGUAUUAAAGAGAGGCAAAUUGAAUGUUUGUGAAGUUUUCUGAACUUAAUCAAUGGGGGAAGGAACAUGCCCAGAGCAGUUUCAGGCAGGUUGAUUUUGGUGGCAAAAUUAUUCCCCACCUGCUUCCCCCUGUUUGCAUAAUGGCCCCACUCUGUAUUGAAGCCAACUGUGGCUGCUCUUCUUAAAAAGGAGAAAGGGCAGGCCAACAAUGACUUGUCUCUUUUGGAGGAAGUUGAGUGGAAGUUGUGCCUGUUAUGCCUGUUAUGCCUAGUUGAGGAAGGGGGAGGCUUUUGUAGAGGUAAGAUAAAAGCAGGCAGCAAUACUUUAGGUUCCCUUCCCAAUUUUGGUGACAGUGGAGAAAUAUGAAUAUAAUCUUCCAUGCCAUUUAUGAUCUCCCUGGGUAGGCUUGGUGUGGGGAAAACCUUUCAGUCAUUCAUUAUUAUUAUUUUUAACCAGAUGUCAUAACCAUCGGGGUGAAAAACACAAUACAGUUAAAUCGAUUGCUUCUUUGUCCUCAGGUUGUCCUUGCAAUUUCACUGCAUCAAGGCAAGGCUGCUAUUUUAGUAGCUUUCUUAUCAUUGCCUGAUAAGAGAGAGAAAGAAAAAGAACGUAACAUGGAUCAAUAAUUUGUUCAUGUGUUCUGAACCCUCUUAGUGGAGCCUCUCAUUUAUUGACACCUCUCUGACUAAGUUUUUUGUUUUGUUUUUGCACUGGGAUUUGAAAUUUUGUUUUUAUCAAUAAUAAUUAUACUGUAGUUUGUCUUCUUCAAGCACAGAUCCAUUCCGGGCUGCCACAGGAAACCCCACCAGUUGGAGGCUGCUUCAUAUUUUGGCAGGAUGUUUCCCAUCAGAUCUGUAUUUCUUCAGUGUAGGUUUGGUUUGCUCUAUGCCAGGGGUAGGCAAUCACCUUCUAAAUCCGGCCCGCAGACGGUCCGGGAAUCAGCAUGUUUUUACAUGAGUAGACUGUGUCCUUUCAUUUAAAAUGCACCUCUGGGUUAUUUGUGGGGCAUAGGAAUUUGUUCAUAUUUUUUUUCAAAACUUGGUCCGGCCCACCACAUGGUCUGAGGGACAAUGGACAGGCCCACGGCUGAAAAAGGUUGCUGACCCCUGCUCUAUGCUGUAAGGCUGCCUGCUAUUCUGAGCUACACAUUUGCAUCCAUCCAACCAUUGGAUACAAAAAUGAAAUGUCCUCAGACUUUUCUAGUAUUCAGGAUGUCAUAGCAAAAAGACAGACUGUGUGGUUUAAUUUUUUUUUAUAGAGAAUAUGGGCCCAAUUUAAUGAUAAAUACAUGCAUGUAACAAACCUCCAAUAGAUCUCCACCCUCACCCAUUUUCAGGGGAAAAAGUUUUGGUAGGGCUUAACAUCUUCCCUACCUAUCAUUUAUCUGCCUUUCCAAUUCUCCUCUCCGCCAGGCAGCUGUGUAUUUUUGGGGGGGGUAUUGAGUGUUUGCAUGUGUUUUAAAUGCAGCAUCUAAUUCAACUCUCUCUUUUCCAGUUGGAACUUAAGAUGUUUAUUCAACUUUAGAAAGACCUACUUACAUUAUCUUUAUAAGCUAAUGCCAACUUAUAGCAAAUUCAGGUAAAUCUCUUGUUUCCUAUACAAAUCCAUAGUGGGCAAAACUAUGACAAGAACUGUAUGCAAGAGGAAGUUAGUAAACCAUAACCACCUCUCCACCUUCUUGUUCAGCUCAGCUAUGCAACUUUUGUUUGUAUGCUCUUCUGAAAGGACUAUGCAGACAAAAGAGAGCAACAACCUCUAACUUCUCUGUAAAUACCUGUGCUAAGAAAUGCCUUCUGCCUCACCUCAUUUGGCUAUUUAGCAUCUCCAGUCAAAGUGAUUAGUCCAGAUUUGGAAGGGAGUUGGUUUCUUGUUUCUGCUGAAAUGCGUUCAGAAAUGCAGAGGGGCGGGCAGGCAUACUGGCUAGUGGGUUUUUUGUGUGUGUUCCAUUUACCUCUGAGCAAGUAUUUCAUGUCAUUUGUCGUGUUUGAGCUGCUUCACUGUUUCACUUAGCACAAAUGAAACUAAUUGUUUUUUGUGGUCUCUUGUUAAUCCAAAAAUUGCCUUCCAGAGAAAGUUGUAUGCAUAUAAGCUUUGUUGAAAUAAAUGGGAGAGCUCUGUUUUUAACCCUGUAUUUAUAGCAACAUUUGUUUCAACAGGACUUCAGUGCAGCUAAUUUUCUGUGGAUUGUGCUCACAGCUUUCUUUCAAUGAGCUCAAAGAGAACUUAGAUUUAAAUAUCAUGUUUCUCUUCUUAAUUGAAAAAUGCAUUAGAUACUAGGAUUUUAAAUGUAGUUUGACUCUGUAUAGCCAAGCCAAAAGGUAAUUAUACAUUUCUUGUUCUUCCGACACAUCCACAGUGUGUGUUAACAGAAAUGCAGGUUAUUUAAGGAAACAUACAAUUUUUGUACUUUGUCAAAGUGGCCUUUUUAGAGGAAGCACACAGUACAUUGAUUAAUGUUGUGUAGCUGUAUAAUUUCAGAGGAACUUUUUUCGUAUUGUAUUGACAGAAUUUAUAUACAUUUUUCAAAAUAGUAUGCUCUUUUGUUUAGAAGUGUGUAGACAUAAUGGGCAAAAUCCAAAAUACUCCAUUCCACAAUUCCCAUCAUUAUAUAUUUUGCUUGGCUCUGUAUAUGUUGUGGGCAACCCCACAGUCCUCAGAGGCAUGUGUAUUCUCUAAAGACUAUUCCCUAGUAGUGAAGGGAAUGGACCAGCUCCUUCCUCCCAUGCAAUAUGAGACUUACAAAGUAUCAGGGCUGUUGGAUGUCUAUGAGAAUGCUGUUAACUCCAUCCACUUAGUUUGUAUAUUCACAAUAUUAAGGUAGUGAACUGUAGACAUGAAGUGCAGCUUUAAGACCCUAGAUGUACAGAACAAUCUCGUAAAUGUAUGCUGUCUUCCAUUGGGGGAAGAAGAGAGAUUCAUAGCUUCAGAGUUGUCAGACGCAAGCAAUUUGCAAAGAUAAGAAGUUAUCACUACACAUAACCAGCCUGGGGGAUGCAGGCCACUCCCAGCUUUUGAGACUCCUGGCCAUAAAAAUAAAAUAAAAUGAUGAUACACAAAAACAAAAUAAGGCACCAGAAAUAGGAAUUGAGUAUAAUGGGGGGGGGUGUAUUUAACAAAUGUUUUUCUAUCCUUUUUAAAAUUCAUGAUACUUGGUUCUUGAUGUUUAUGGCUGACCUGCUGAAUUUCCAAAAACUUUAUUUUUCUUGCCAUAGCUGCUGCUUGUAAUUGCCAUCUUGACAGUUAACAUGAAAAAUCCAGAAAUUUUAAUGGUAUGAGAAUUGGAAUCAGACAAAAUUAUCUAUGCAUAUAUUCUGGUGGUUAGUGCUCAGUUUGCUUUCGUCUAUGGAUUCUACAAGAUAGCAUUAGGGGAAAUGUUGGCAAACUGAAUAAUUGGAAGAGUCAUACAAGAAUAGGUUUCUGGGUUGGAUUUUAAAAUGGGAUGUAAAUGUCCCUUAAGUUAUUUAUGCAGUUCCACUGGAGUGUUUGCAAUGCUAAGUAAGGCCUGUAGAUUGCCAAAAAUAAUAGCAGUAAUAAUAUUAAUACCCUUGAUGUUGUUGAUGCUAAUUCACAAUUCUCUGCAAACCAUAAGGGGAGUCAGUGUUUACUAGUGGACCUCCAAGAUCACUUUUGUUUUGUCAGCUCAGUCAACUGGGUUUGUUCAGAUAUCAUAUGUCUCCACAAGACUUUCCAGGGAACCCCCUCCUGUGCUGAAUAGAUGGUGCAGAAGAUGAAACCAAACCAAGAUGUGCAGAUAUGGCUAGAAACUACAUUGAAAGCUAUUGUGUGGAGUCAGUCCUGAGCUAGCAGGCCCAGUGCUCCAGACUUGGACCUGUAGCAACUUUCCCAUCUUGGGCUCAGUUGUUUUUUUCUAGCCUCUCUAGCCAACAUUUCACCUUACCACAUCUGCAUCUACAUACAAAGCCAAGCAGAAGCAGCUUCUUUUUUAAAAAGAAAUGUUUUAAAAAAGUUAGUGGCAUGCUGCUGGCUGUGUUUUUUAUUCCUUCCUUACCCUUUGUAUUUCAGCUAUCAGUCAGUGCUGGUGAGUAUAAUAUAUUUACUCUGCUGUCGGUGUCCCCUGGCUCCCUCAGUCAUGGGACAGAGCCCAUUCCCAUGGCUGCUCUUCCCAUGAAUGACAAAGUGAUUUUAAGCUUCCAGCAGGUUCUUGGUAAACUCAUAUGGCAUCUGAACAAAUCCAUCGUUAAGUAUGCAUGGCUUGUUUUUUCCUGAUUUUGUUGUGUAAGGGAUCCCGCAUCUCUUGCUAGUUGGGGAGGGGGUUAAAUUUUUUUUUUUAAUGUAAGAACAGCUGAAGUUGGGCAAAUUUGAAUGUUAAGCAUGCUAACUUGUACGGUUAUGUUUGAAGAAAGAAAAACGUGCAAUUCUGAAGGCACUUUGUGAUCAGUUUAUGAAAAAUGGGCUUUGCAAUGGAACAUAUGAUAUUAAUGCGUAAUUAAUAAGUAGUGUUGUCUUUGCUAUCUGUAUAUCCUUCUCAAGUGUUUUGUCUAUGCCUCUUUUUUAAAAAAGUUGUGCUUCUGAGAAAUCUUGUUCAACUUUGUUAAUUAGCUAAGAAAAAACAGUGGCUGUGAUUCAAUGUGAUGCGCACACGUAACACUUAAGUACAGGGGUUUCCCCCAUUCUUUGACCAGUGGAAUUCUUUGCUCCCAGUGGGAAAUUGCCUUAUACUCGUAAUGUGUUUCUCUUCCUAGAAUAAAUAUAGAUGUAACAUUUGAACUGAGAUCACAAAAGGUCUUUCACCUGUAUCUUAAUCUUAUCUAAAGCAAAACUACAAAUAUUUCAUGAACAGCUGCAGUAUUGCUACAGUGAAUUUGUGGGUAAGAAAGGAGUGUGUUGGUGACAUCUCAACUACUAGCCAAUUGGCACUGUUCACCUAGGACUUUUCUGUGUGCACCUGCCCUGGGAUGGGAAAAGUUUUAUGCUUGGAUUGUUCGGAUGCUCCCAACCCUCCUCUUCCAUAAAAAGAGCCAUGUUGGAUUAGGCAGCAGCCUGUUCUCACAGUGGCCACCCAAUGAGAAAUCUGUAAGCAGGACAUGAGUGUGAUGCACUCUCCUACCUGUGUACCCUUGCAACUGGUAUUCAGAGCAAUACUGCCUCCAACAGUGGAGAUAGAAUAUAGCCAUCAGGGCUAGUAGCCAUCGAUAGCCUUAAAUUGAUAUACACACACGCUCAUUGCUCUGCAAAGUUUACGUCAGCCUUCAGUCAUCAAAGAGAAUCCAGUCUGUGAAUCAGAGUUUAUGGGGUGUUGGAUCAUGCUAAAUAUCUGAGUUUGUUUGCUUUAGGAUCAUUUUCACAUGUCCUUUGUCCAUCAGUCUGUUUUCAUGGAUAGCCUUGCAUGGCAGGCAUUUAAAAAUUACAAUUCCUUCAUUCUCGUUGGUAAUACUUUUGAGGUUUACAUAUUCUAAAGAUGCAAAAAAGGGAUACAAAACAGUUCUUGGAUUAAGUAGCACUUUGUUUACAUGUUCAGUAUAAUGUUGGGCAAGUAAGGGUCUUUUAUUUUUUAUUUUAAUUUAAAGCACAUAGAUUGUGCUCCAGGGGCUUUGUAGCCACUGUGUGUAAAUUUGGUGUAAUGAUGUUUUAAGGACAGGUGAAAGUGUGUGAUAUUUUUUAAUGUAGUUUGUAUUGACCGGGUUUUAUAAAAUGUAAGAAAAAGAGUGUUGUAUUUUGACCUGAAAUCUGUGUACGGUAAAGUCACUUUGCUUUAUGUAUUGGAGGUUUGUUGAAAACUUGAACUAUUUUAUAGAAGGGUGCAGACCAAAAUUGAAUUGUCUUAAAGUUGAACUAACCAAAUAAACAUUUUAUGGUUUGCGUACAUUUAUUGCCUCUUGCAUUAAAUAUUUUCUUUCUUUUACUAAAAAAAAAAAUACAGUUGAAAAUAGUCUUGAAAUGAAGCUGAAGUUAUGUAGAGAGCCACCCUGAUCAUGGAAAGAGGGGAUGUAGAAUCAAUUUGGUACAGAGAUGGCCAGCAUCUGUCUUCUUAGAGACGAGUUUUGAUAUUUUCAAUUACUUGCUCUGGGAAACGGAAGUGUGCUUUGCCUCUCAAUCUCCUAAAGCAGGACUGGGGAACCUGUGGCCUUCCAGGUGUUAAUAGAUUCAAGCUCCCAUUGGCAUCAGCCAUCAUGGCUAAUAGUGGUGGGAGUUGGAGUCCAGCAACAUCUGGAGGGCUACAGCUUCCCCAACCUGUCCUAAAACCUAUAUAAUCAAGUCAGCACCACUAAUUAUAGGUAUGUCAUGGUGGCCACAGCGUUACAUAGAAAACUUGCAGAUUAAUCUAUUUAUAAACAGCAGCCCUGCAGUCAGUUGACAGCCUGAAUUCAAACCCUAUCAAAUGCAACCUUUCCUUUGUGGGUAAAGAUGGGGAAAUGGUCAAUAACCAUUUAAGAGCAAAAAACUGCUGCACUUAACAGUAGCAACCAACAUUUAUCCAUCAGGAUGCUUUUUAUCAGCAGGAAAGGCUGAACAUUAUAUCUUGGAAAAAGGGUAAGAGUCCGUUCCCUAGAGCUCAAAUUCCCACUGACCCAGCUUUCCUGUUACAGUACAGCUGAAUUAUUUUAGGAAAAUGGAGUGUGGCCGUGUCUUGCUUACACUUGUAAGCAAAAUAAAGGUUUUACCCCUCAAACCAAGUUCCUGAAAUAACCUGUGUGAAGCAGCAUUGAUAUGCAGGAUAUUCGAUAAAAUUACGACACUAAUGUUUAGUGCUGAUUUCCACUGAUAUCUCAACUCUCCAUACACACACAAUUUGAGACAUACAGUACUGUUGCUUUGUGUGUUCACAGUUGUGUGUGCAUUGGUGAGGGAAAGAAGUUACAGUGGCCCAAAGGGUCGGUGCAUCUGGCUGUUUACCAGACCGUUUGGUUGUACGAGCCAACCCAGGGAAAACUGGGGGCAGGAUUGGUGCGUUGCAGAGGAUUGGAUUAGAUGACCCUUAGGGUCUCUUCCGAUGCUACAAUUCUAUGAUUCUCCAUCCCACAAAGAUCCUUGCUUCUUGAACAGGAACCUUCUGCCACUCCACUUCACAGGAAAUUACAGGAGUGGUGAGCUGUGUGCGUUCACAUGAUACCAGAAAUAUUUAAAUCUGGGCAUUCUCAGAGUGUAUAUCUCUUACUAUUCUUUUGUUAUUAUUUCCUGUGAUCCAGAACCAAUCCUGAAUUUUUUUGCAUAGCAGUUAAAGCAAUUAAAAAAUGUUGUGGCAAUUAAGACCAU